rnacentral:lncRNA from 1 species
CGCGGCCUUGGCACUGUCGGCUCCCGCUGGGAGGUCCGGGUACGUCCUGAGCCAGCGCAAACACCUGAGCUGUUACAAAAGGCCCGGCGGGUAGGAAUGUGCCUGUUUCUUGGCACUAUUUUGCACGGACCCAGCGUGAGCCGUGCUGGGGCUGCAGGCACAAGCAGCUGAAUAGAGAGUAGAGAGGCUGUAGUGGCCCUACGGGGCUGUAGCAGCUUUAGGCCCCGCAGAAACAGCCCUAAACAAUCAGGGGUUCAUGAAAUCAGUCUUUCCCUUUUGAAUAUUGGUUAAAACAGCUCUUUAAAUACACCUGGAGCAUCUCUUGAACCUGACAGCAAGUGAGAGAAGUGCUGAGAGGUGCCCAAACUGCUUCUUGGUGUUUCUGGGAUGCAGAGGACUAGGUUUCCGCCGAGGAGCCCCGUAACCUCUCCGGGAACCCAUGGCCGAGCACAGUUCCCAGAGCGAGCGAAACGGGAUUCGUACCCGAGAGCAAAGAGCUGGGUGGAAACACGGAGCAUGCAGGGAAACGCGUCCUUAACGAAGGCUGCAUCUUUUUCUGCUGAGAUGUUUUUAACCCACUUCUGCCUUUUGGUGUCUCUUUUUUUUUUCUGUUCGUGCAGGUGCUCUUUUAAGCAGCACUUUUUGGGGCAGAGGCACGCCAGCUCUAACGCUGUGUUCUCUCCCAGAAUGGUGCUUGUGGGCUGCAGCUUUCUGUAGAUGUCGUUGCUUUCUGUUACAAGGUGUGCUGCAUCGUGACAGGAACAGGCUUUUUAAAGCUGUUUGCUUUGAGCCUUCUUGGCACAUUCAUGCUAGGUUUUUUCUCUGCUUUAAAAAAAAAAAUAUUUAAAGUGCUUGGACAAUUUUUGCCUCUCUGCUUUGAUAGGAUUUGCAGCUGUGAAUGUGCUUUAAUAGAAUUUACAGCUGGGCUGAAGUAUCCCCUCUCUUAAAAUAACAUUGCAGCUUCGUGAUUCAGGAGAAUGUGCCUCCCACUAGCUGCUUUGUCUGUAGCUGUGAAUGCUCUGGAGCAAGAGGAGAAUAUGAGCAAAACCAAAACUUUUGUAUGUGGCAAAAUAGGAAGCAUAACCCUGUGGUUCAGGACUGUAACUAUAAACGAGUGUACUUGGGUCUUGUUUUAUUUUUGCUUUGCCAGUGCCUUGCUUUCUGCUCUCACGUGCAGCUUUUAACCUGCCAGUUGUUUUUUUUUUUCUGCCAUUAAAAUGGGAAUAGGAAAACCUCAGAGCGUUGUUAGAUCAUUAGGUGAUCGUUCCGGGGAUCUUUACCUCCGGAGCUUUGUGUCGCUCUGACCAACACAGAGAAAUCAGUGCAUUUGUGCAGGAAAAAAAAAAAACACAGAGUCACCUUUCCUGUGCCCUGAUUUUGCGGGGUUUCAUUUGGGCUCCUCUUCUCUGAAAAUCUUUGCAAGUCCCAUCCUCCCCGAGGGGUGCCCGGUGACAGGGGGAUGUGGGCCAAGCAAAAGCUCAGCGCCCUCCCCAGCUUGCUGCUGACAAAGCUGGUGAGCCGAUCUGCUCUUCUUUUUCCCCAAAAAAAGGCUAGAGCCAGAGUGCCCGAGCAGCAGCACGUUUGUUGCUUUGAAUGCGCUCCGAACCUGGAGGGAUCUGGCUCUGUACAUCCCUCUGCGAAACGCUGGUGCUGAGUGCUCAGGAUAAUGAAUGUAGGGAGAACGGUUUUUAAGGUUAUGACUGCCACCGAGCCAGCUGUACCUCGG